UACGGGGGGGGCAAGCGUUGUUCGGAAUUACUGGGCGUAAAGGGCUCGUAGGUGGUCAACUAAGUCAGACGUGAAAUCCCUCGGCUUAACCGGGGAACUGCGUCUGAUACUGGAUGGCUUGAGUUCGGGAGAGGGAUGCGGAAUUCCAGGUGUAGCGGUGAAAUGCGUAGAUAUCUGGAGGAACACCGGUGGCGAAGGCGGCAUCCUGGACCGACACUGACGCUGAGGAGCGAAAGCCAGGGGAGCAAACGGG
rnacentral:rRNA from 1 species